rnacentral:lncRNA from 1 species
AGCACACGGAAGAGGAGCUGCCAGAGCGCGGAGGUCUGCGGAAAAUAAAAAGCGGGCGGUCAGCGGAGCCGGCCCAACUCCCUGCGAGGGCCCGGGACCCCACCCGGCCCGCCUGCCCUCCGCGAGAGCGUCACCGCCUCCGGACGGUCGAACUUGGCGCGGCGGAAGAUCUCGGGGCUGGGUCCCGAGGGCAGCGACCGACUCAACGCGGCGAUGGCCUCAGGCAGGGCCCCGGCCCGGGCCCCAGCCGCGGGGUCCACCCGCUGCCGCCGCCUCCCCAUGCAGCCAGCACCAGCCUCUUUCGGAUCGCCCGCCUCCGCCGCGGCCCGGGGCCUGCGUCCAAUCACCGCACGGGCCGGGUUUAGUGCGGCGGCUGGGACCUGCGCC